rnacentral:lncRNA from 1 species
AACAACAGAAUUCAUAUCUGUUUUAGCGGCAGUGUGAUGCAGAUUCUCAAAUUCUUUAUUGGCAUAAAUAAUUCAGACAAUUGGAUUCUCACUAAACAUUGCACUAAACACAAGAAACAAUAGGCUUGCCGGUGCAGAGGCUCACAACUUGUCCAACAGCCCAAAUUAGAAAUACUUUUUUGAGAAGUGUAGAAAACUUUAUAAAUGAUUCUGUACAAAUAUACACAGUGGACCCUCCAUCCAUCUGGCCUUCCUUUCCUGGAUGGCAUCUGAAUUGACUGUUCUUUCCCAGCAACGAGAUGUUGGCAAUGAGUAAGAGAGAGACAGAGACUGAGACAGACAAAGAUAGAAAGGGAAGAAAAGAAGUGGCCCCAAAAGGAAAACAUGAAACCAACUUCUUACAUUAACCCAUUCAACAACAGUCCGGACAAACAUGGAGAAAACAAUAUGGGCCAUUGGUCCGUGUUGGUCUGUACAAGAAUU